rnacentral:rRNA from 1 species
AGGACGAACGCUGGCGGCGUGCUUAACACAUGCAAGUCGAGCGAGGCCCUUCCUUCGGGAAGGUGCCCUAGCGGCGAACGGGUGAGUAACACGUGGGCAACCUGCCCCUAGCACUGGGAUAACUCCGGGAAACCGGGGCUAAUACCGGAUAUGACCUCCGAGGGCAUCCUUGGUGGUGUAAAGGAUUCUGGCUAGGGAUGGGCCCGCGGCCUAUCAGCUUGUUGGUGGGGUAAUGGCCUACCAAGGCGACGACGGGUAGCCGGCCUGAGAGGGCGACCGGCCACACUGGGACUGAGACACGGCCCAGACUCCUACGGGAGGCAGCAGUGGGGAAUAUUGCACAAUGGGCGAAAGCCUGAUGCAGCGACGCCGCGUGAGGGAUGACGGCCUUCGGGUUGUAAACCUCUUUCAGCAGGGACGAAGCGAAAGUGACGGUACCUGCAGAAGAAGCACCGGCCAACUACGCGCCAGCAGCCGC